rnacentral:tRNA from 1 species
GCGGGCGUGGCGGAAUUGGCAGACGCGCCAGACUUAGGAUCUGGUGGGGAAUACCCGUGGGAGUUCGACUCUCCCCGCCCGCA